GACGAACGCUGGCGGCGUGCCUAAUACAUGCAAGUCGAACGAAGCUGUUUUAACUGGUGCUUGCACCGACUUAAACAACUGAGUGGCGAACGGGUGAAUAACACGUGGGUAACCUGCCCCAAAGCGGGGGAUAACAUUUGGAAACAGAUGCUAAUACCGCAUAACCACAGAAACCACAUGGUUUCUGUGUCAAAGAUGGUUUCGGCUAUCACUUUGGGAUGGACCCGCGGCGUAUUAGCUAGUUGGUAAGGUAAUGGCUUACCAAGGCAAUGAUACGUAGCCGAACUGAGAGGUUGAUCGGCCACAUUGGGACUGAGACACGGCCCAAACUCCUACGGGAGGCAGCAGUAGGGAAUCUUCCACAAUGGACGAAAGUCUGAUGGAGCAACGCCGCGUGAGUGAAGAAGGUUUUCGGAUCGUAAAACUCUGUUGUCAGAGAAGAACGUGUGCGAGAGUAACUGUUCGUGCAGUGACGGUAUCUGGCCAGAAAGCCACGACUAACUACGUGCCAGCAGCCGCCGUAA
rnacentral:rRNA from 1 species